rnacentral:rRNA from 1 species
AACGAUUCCGAUUUAUCGGAAUAGUGGCAAACGGGUGAGUAACACGUAAGUAACCUGCCCCUAAGUAAGGAUAACUCUGAGAAAUUGGAGCUAAUACUGUAUGUGGUCCUUCAUUGCAAGGUGAAGGACUAAAGCCUACGGGCGCUUGGGGAGGGGCUUGCGUCCGAUUAGCUAGUUGGUAAGGUAAUGGCCUACCAAGGCAAUGAUCGGUAGCUGGUUUAAGAGGACGGUCAGCCACACUGGGACUGAGACACGGCCCAGACUCCUACGGGAGGCAGCAGCAAGGAAUAUUGUGCAAUGGGCGAAAGCCUGACACAGUGACACCGCGUGGGGGAUGAAGGCCUUCGGGUCGUAAACCCCUUUUCCCAGAGAAGAAAAAUGACGGUACCUGGGGAAUAAGUCUUGGCUAACUACGUGCCAGCAGCCGCGGUAAGACGUAGAAGGCAAGCGUUAUCCGGAUUUAUUGGGCGUAAAGAGGGUGUAGGCGGUUCUUCAAGUCGGAUGUAAAAUCUCCCGGCUCAACUGGGAGGGAUCAUUCGAUACUGCUGGGCUAGAGUGCAGCAGGGGGAGAUGGAAUUCCCGGUGUAGUGGUGAAAUGCGUAGAUAUCGGGAGGAACACCAGUGGCGAAGGCGGUCUCCUGGGCUGUUACUGACGCUGAGACCCGAAAGCGUGGGGAGCGAACAGGAUUAGAUACCCUGGUAGUCCACGCAGUAAACGAUGGACACUAGGUAUGGGGGGUAUCGACCCCCUC